UACGUAGGGUGCGAGCGUUAAUCGGAAUUACUGGGCGUAAAGCGUGCGUAGGCGGUUCGUUAAGUCAGCUGUGAAAGCCCCGGGCUCAACCUGGGAACUGCGGUUGAAACUGGCGAACUAGAAUCUGGCAGAGGGGGGUGGAAUUCCACGUGUAGCAGUGAAAUGCGUAGAGAUGUGGAGGAACACCGAUGGCGAAGGCAGCCCCCUGGGCUGAGAUUGACGCUCAUGCACGAAAGCGUGGGGAGCAAACAGG
rnacentral:rRNA from 1 species